UUCCACAGGAUCGGUGAA
rnacentral:snRNA from 1 species